rnacentral:rRNA from 1 species
UGCCUUUUGUAGAAUGAACCGGCGAGUUACGAUAUGAUGCGAGGUUAAGUUGAAGAGACGGAGCCGUAGGGAAACCGAGUCUUAAUAGGGCGCAUUAGUAUCAUGUCGUAGACCCGAAACCAUGUGACCUACCCAUGAGCAGGUUGAAGGUGAGGUAAAACUCACUGGAGGACCGAACCAGGGCACGUUGAAAAGUGCUUGGAUGACUUGUGGGUAGCGGAGAAAUUCCAAACGAACUUGGAGAUAGCUGGUUCUCUCCGAAAUAGCUUUAGGGCUAGCGUCGAUGUUAAGUCUCUUGGAGGUAGAGCACUGUUUGGGUGAGGGGUCCAUCCCGGAUUACCAAUCUCAGAUAAACUCCGAAUGCCAACGAGAUAUAAUCGGCAGUCAGACUGCGAGUGCUAAGAUCCGUAGUCGAAAGGGAAACAGCCCAGACCACCAGCUAAGGUCCCAAAAUAUAUGUUAAGUGGAAAAGGAUGUGGGGUUGCACAGACAACUAGGAUGUUAGCUUAGAAGCAGCUAUUCAUUCAAAGAGUGCGUAAUAGCUCACUAGUCGAGUGACCCUGCGCCGAAAAUGUACCGGGGCUAAAACAUAUUACCGAAGCUGUGGAUACCUUUAUAGGUAUGGUAGGAGAGCGUUCUAUGUGCGAAGAAGGUGUACCGUGAGGAGUGCUGGAGCGCAUAGAAGUGAGAAUGCCGGUAUGAGUAGCGAAAGACAGGUGAGAAUCCUGUCCACCGUAAGACUAAGGUUUCCAGGGGAAGGCUCGUCCGCCCUGGGUUAGUCGGGACCUAAGGAGAGACCGAAAGGUGUAUCCGAUGGACAACAGGUUGAUAUUCCUGUACUAGAGUAUAUAGUGAUGGAGGGACGCAGUAGGCUAACUAAACCAGACGAUUGGAAGUGUCUGGCCAAGCAGUGAGGUGUGAUAUGAGUCAAAUGCUUAUAUCUAUAACAUUGAGCUGUGAUGGGGAGCGAAGUUUAGUAGCGAAGUUAGUGAUGUCACACUGCCGAGAAAAGCUUCUAGCGUUAAUUAUACUCUACCCGUACCGCAAACCGACACAGGUAGUCGAGGCGAGUAGCCUCAGGUGAGCGAGAGAACUCUCGUUAAGGAACUCGGCAAAAUGGCCCCGUAACUUCGGGAGAAGGGGCGCUGACUUAUGGUCAGCCGCAGUGAAUAGGCCCAAGCAACUGUUUAUCAAAAACACAGCUCUCUGCUAAAUCGUAAGAUGAUGUAUAGGGGGUGACGCCUGCCCGGUGCUGGAAGGUUAAGAGGAGUGCUUAGCAAUAGCGAAGGUAUGAAUUGAAGCCCCAGUAAACGGCGGCCGUAACUAUAACGGUCCUAAGGUAGCGAAAUUCCUUGUCGGGUAAGUUCCGACCCGCACGAAAGGCGUAAUGAUUUGGGCACUGUCUCAACGAGAGACUCGGUGAAAUUUUAGUACCUGUGAAGAUGCAGGUUACCCGCGACAGGACGGAAAGACCCCAUGGAGCUUUACUGCAGUUUGAUAUUGAGUAUCUGUACCACAUGUACAGGAUAGGUAGGAGCCUAUGACCUCGGGACGCCAGUUUCGAGUGAGGCGUUGUUGGGAUACUACCCUUGUGUUAUGGCUACUCUAACCCAGAUAGGUUAUCCCUAUCGGAGACAGUGUCUGACGGGCAGUUUGACUGGGGCGGUCGCCUCCUAAAAGGUAACGGAGGCGCCCAAAGGUUCCCUCAGAAUGGUUGGAAAUCAUUCGCAGAGUGUAAAGGUAUAAGGGAGCUUGACUGCGAGAGCUACAACUCGAGCAGGGACGAAAGUCGGGCUUAGUGAUCCGGUGGUUCCGCAUGGAAGGGCCAUCGCUCAACGGAUAAAAGCUACCCUGGGGAUAACAGGCUUAUCUCCCCCAAGAGUUCACAUCGACGGGGAGGUUUGGCACCUCGAUGUCGGCUCGUCGCAUCCUGGGGCUGUAGUCGGUCCCAAGGGUUGGGCUGUUCGCCCAUUAAAGCGGCACGCGAGCUGGGUUCAGAACGUCGUGAGACAGUUCGGUCCCUAUCCGUCGCGGGCGUAGGAAAUUUGAGAGGAUCUGCUCCUAGUACGAGAGGACCAGAGUGGACUUACCGCUGGUGUACCAGUUGUUCUGCCAAGAGCAUCGCUGGGUAGCUAUGUAGGGAAGGGAUAAACGCUGAAAGCAUCUAAGUGUGAAGCCCACCUCAAGAUGAGAUUUCCCAUGAUUUUAUAUCAGUAAGAGCCCUGAGAGAUGAUCAGGUUGAUAGGUUAGAAGUGGAAGUGUGGUGACACAUGUAGCGGACUAAUACUAAUAGCUCGAGGACUUAUCCAA